rnacentral:misc_RNA from 1 species
ACCGCUUCAACUCCCUAACUAAAACCCUAACCGUUGUAAACCAAUCCCUCAAUCACCAUACCCAGUCUUCCAUUCUAGUUCCAAUUUUCAUUCUAUGUUCGCAUUUUUCCUCAAAGCAGCAAAGUAAUGACAGAAAUGAGGACAAGAACGAUGUUGUAUCGCUCUUCAACAGAGACCCAACCAGCCCCCCUCGGCUUUUCGUGGUCCAGCCUCGCCUCCGCCCCGAUACUUUCCUUCAAGC